rnacentral:misc_RNA from 1 species
GUGGGGUGUAACGUAAUAUUUAAGGUUAAUACGGAUGGCUCUUUCAUCAUGAUUCAGGGAAUGCUUUUGCUAGUGGUCUUAUUGAUGAUAGGAUCGGCUUGUGGAUUAGUGGCUUUGUCUCUAAUUUGGGGAAAUGUUCUUCAGUUAAAGCAGAGUUAUGGCUGUGUUUCAAGGUUUGCAGCUGGCUCAACUUUGGGCAUCUCUUGUGUGGUUGUAGCAGCUGUCGUCUCUGGGUCUAC